GACCGCUCAACAUAUAAACAGUAUUGGUGUGUGCGACAUGAUCGCGGACCCGAAGGAAAAAAUCGUUUUGGACGGGGGUUCGAUUCCCCCCACCUCCACCACAUGUCGGAGCCUCCCGGAUGCGCCUACAUCUGAAGGGGGUGAACAGGUUUCGACAGGGCGACCAGUAACCGGAGAUACACCACGUCAGGCGUCUGACGCAAAUAGCGCAAAUCCAUAAUUGCAAAUCAACCGCAAUAUAUUGCUUACGGAACUUAAGAACCGAUAAGCCGAGGAACCGGCCCCUUCGAAAGAAGGCUUGGGAACAGAACGGCCGGACCAACUCUGUCG
rnacentral:tmRNA from 1 species